GUCUACGGCCAUACCACCCUGAACGCGCCCGAUCUCGUCUGAUCUCGGAAGCUAAGCAGGGUCGGGCCUGGUUAGUACUUGGAUGGGAGAAAAACACUCUAUUUUGAUUACC
rnacentral:rRNA from 1 species